rnacentral:tRNA from 1 species
UUACCGAGGGGUUCGAAUCCCUCUCUUUCCU